rnacentral:rRNA from 1 species
CGGAGGGUGCAAGCGUUAUCCGGAUUCACUGGGUUUAAAGGGUGCGUAGGUGGGUAAGUAAGUCAGUGGUGAAAUCUCCGGGCUUAACCCGGAAACUGCCAUUGAUACUAUUUGUCUUGAAUACUGUGGAGGUCAGCGGAAUAUGUCAUGUAGCGGUGAAAUGCUUAGAUAUGACAUAGAACACCAAUUGCGAAGGCAGCUGGCUACACAAAUAUUGACACUGAGGCACGAAAGCGUGGGGAUCAAACAGGAUUAGAUACCCUGGUAGUCCACGCCCUAAACUAUGGAUACUCGACAUUUGCGAUAAACUGCAAGUGUCUGAGCGAAAGCAUUAAGUGUCCCACCUGGGAAGUACGAUCGCAAGAUUG